GAUAUAUGCUCAGUUUAAAGAUUAAGCCAUGCAUGUCGAAUUCAUCUAUAGAGAAACUGCGAACGGCUCAUUAGAGCAGAUGUCAUUUAUUCGGAACGUCCUAUUGGAUAACUGCGGUAAUUCUGGAGCUAAUACAUGCAAUAAAACCUUGACGCUUGUAGCGGUGUAAUUAUUAGUGCAAAUCAAUCAUCUUCGGUUAGUGCACAGCGCCGGAUAGGUUGAGACGCGGGCUCGAAUCUCGCCUAAAAUGCGAUUUUUGCGAUAAACCUAGCAGCAUCAUUGCAACAUCUUCGGAUGUUGUUUGCUAGCUCCGAAUAACGCAGCACGUCGACAGGUAGCCCGGCGAUGUUCCGGGAAAGCGUCUGCCCUAUCAACCUGAAGGCAGUCUACUAGUCUACCGUGGUUAAAAGUAAGAGCACAAGAGUCCACCAACGGAUAAGGACCCUUAGAAACGGCUACGGCAUCCAAGGCAGCAGGCGAAAAAGUUAUCCAAUCUUGGGUAGAUGAGAUAGUGAGGCUCAAGCGAAGGGCAAGUCUGGUGCCAGCAGCCGCGAUUGCUCCUGCUCCACUAGUGUAAAUC
rnacentral:ncRNA from 1 species